CCGUCGUCAGUUCGUACUGUGAAGCAUCCUGUUAAGUCAGGCAACGAGCGAGACCCACGCCAACAGUUGCCAGCAUGUCCUCCGGGAUGGAUGGGGACACUGUUGGGACCGCCUCUGCUAAAGAGGAGGAAGGAAUGGGCAACGGUAGGUCAGCAUGCCCCGAAUUAUCCGGGCUACACGCGGGCUACAAUGGUCAGGACAAUGGGUAUCGACACCGAGAGGUGGAGGCAAUCUCCUAAACCUGUCCCUAGUUCGGAUUGUGGGCUGCAACUCGCCCACAUGAAGCUGGAAUCCGUAGUAAUCGCGUUUCAAAAUAGCGCGGUGAAUAUGUCCCUGCUCCUU
rnacentral:rRNA from 1 species